rnacentral:rRNA from 1 species
UACCUACGGGGGGCAGCAGUGAGGAAUAUUGGUCAAUGGGCGAGAGCCUGAACCAGCCAAGUCGCGUGAGGGAAGACGGUCCUAUGGAUUGUAAACCUCUUUUGCCGGGGAGCAAAAAGCGGUACGUGUACCGCAUCGAGAGUACCCGGAGAAAAAGCAUCGGCUAACUCCGUGCCAGCAGCCGCGGUAAUACGGAGGAUGCGAGUGUUAUCCGGAUUUAUUGGGUUUAAAGGGUGCGCAGGCGGCACAGCAAGCCGGCGGUCAAAUCGCGGGGCCCAACCCCGCCCAGCCGUCGGAACCGGCGG